rnacentral:rRNA from 1 species
AUUGAACGCUGGCGGCAGGCCUAACACAUGCAAGUCGAACGGUAGCACAGAGAGCUUGCUCUCGGGUGACGAGUGGCGGACGGGUGAGUAACGUCUGGGAAACUGCCCGAUGGAGGGGGAUAACUACUGGAAACGGUAGCUAAUACUGCAUAACGUCGCAAGACCAAAGUGGGGGACCUUCGGGCCCCACACCAUCGGAUGUGCCCAGAUGGGAUUAGCUAGUAGGUGGGGUAAUGGCUCACCUAGGCGACGAUCCCUAGCUGGUCUGAGAGGAUGACCAGGCACACGGGAACUGAGCCACGGUCCAGACUCCUACGGGAGGCAGCAGGGGGGAAUAUUGCACAAGGGGCGCAAGCCUGAUGCAGCCAUGCCGCGUGUAUGAAGAAGGCCUUCGGGUUGUAAAGUACUUUCAGCGAGGAGGAAGGCGGUGAAGUUAAUAACUUCACCGAUUGACGUUACCCGCAGAAGAAGCACCGGCUAACUCCGUGCCAGCCGCCGCCGUAA